UCUUUCUUUGCUGGCGACCGGCGCACGGGUGAGUAACACGUACCCAACCUGCCCUUUACUCGGGGAUAGCCUUUCGAAAGAAAGAUUAAUACCCGAUAGCAUAAUGAUUCCGCAUGGUUUCAUUAUUAAAGGAUUCCGGUAAAGGAUGGGGAUGCGUUCCAUUAGGUUGUUGGUGAGGUAACGGCUCACCAAGCCUUCGAUGGAUAGGGGUUCUGAGAGGAAGGUCCCCCACAUUGGAACUGAGACACGGUCCAA
rnacentral:rRNA from 1 species